UGUCAACAGUAUUGCAAAGCAUCUACUCUACUAUGUAACAAUUACUAGGGCGUCUAUGUCCUCGGCGGACGAAUCCAAUAACUAUCCCUUGUAUUUAAGUUGAAGUCAACUUAAAAAAAAAAAGUUUAAGUGAAUUAGCUACACUUCUACCUGUAAAUUGAUCAAGUUGAACUACGUUCGGUCGCUCAUGUUUACCAGUUAUUCUUUUCAGUCUGUUACCUUAAGUAGAAUGGACUUUCCCUUUAACUGAACUAAAAUUGUUCUUAGCACAGCGCACGGUUUCGAAGUGAGCAAGCAAGAGAUCAAAAUGGCCUUGCGACGAACGACAUUGGGUUAGCAUUGGCCUCAUUUCUGUAACCUAUAUUCUUCUUGUAAGUUGUUCUACUAGUCCCGAAUGUUCUUCCAAAGGAUUUCGUAAUUUUUAAAGUAGCUUGGUAACACACAAUUUUUAAAUGAUCAUUAUUUUCUCUGUUUACAUUCCAUCAAUACUAGAUAUAAAAUAUGUUUGCACUUUGAAGUCAACUCACCCGCUGCUAAGUUCUAAUUGCGAUAUUUUAAGCAAUACAAUUCGUUUCUAGGA